rnacentral:lncRNA from 7 species
CGCGAUCGUUGGCAUGGGGUUCCCUUGCCGAGCGUAUAGAACUGGAGCCAUACCCCUUCCCUUCCUACACCAAUUCAAAGCCAUCACCUAGCCAUGCACCUGAGGAACAACGUCGGGCAAAACCGAGAAGGAAGGAGACCGAGCCGCCUCCGUUGGACCACGCCUUCAUCGUUGUCGAGCCUGCCCGUAUCGGUCGAAGAUGAUCUCAGUGGUACACCGCAUGUGCACGUACCGGGAUUGGGCGCUAAAGAGCAGCGGGGGCACUGGGAUUGCUCGUCCAAGUGUGAGCUCCGUCAUGCAUCCGCUCAACGUCGUGGCCACCCCUCUGCCAACCUAUACACUAGAUGAAGCGGGAUCUAAUCCAGGGCAUCGG